GAUGAACGCUGGCGGCGUGCUUCAUACAUGCAAGUCGAACGAGAAUUGGUAGCUUGCUACCAAGGAAAGUGGCGGACGGGUGAGUAAUACAUAGGGAAUCUGCCCUUAGCCGGGGGACAACAGUUGGAAACGACUGCUAAUACCGCAUAUGAGGUAAGUUGAGAUACUUAUCUUGAAAACUCCGGUGGCUAAGGAUGAGCCUGUGCCUGAUUAGUUAGUUGGCGGGGUAAAGGCCCACCAAGGCGACGAUCAGUAGCUGGUUUGAGAGGAUGAUCAGCCACAAUGGGACUGAGACACGGCCCAUACUCC
rnacentral:rRNA from 1 species